ensembl:rRNA 5S_rRNA 5S ribosomal RNA
AUCUUUGGCUGUACCACCCUGAAUGCACCCAAUCUUGUCUGAUCCUGGAAGCUAAGCAGGGUUGAGCCUGGUUAGUACUUGGAAGGGAGACUGCCUUGGAACACUGGGUGCUGUAAGCUU